GGAUGCGAUCAUACCAGCACUAAAGCACCGGAUCCCAUCAGAACUCCGACGGCAAGCGUGUUCUGAAAGGGGUCGAAACCA
rnacentral:rRNA from 1 species